AUGUUUUACAUGUUGUUUAAUAGUUUUUUUGCGCAUUACACGUUGAGGUUGACUUGUAAAAACAUGAAUUCAGGCGAUUAUGGUCCUGGUACUACCGAAGGUGUUGAAGUGCUGAAUGAAAGUCCUCUUUAUUGGAUCUUUAUAGUGAAACCUAUGAACGUUGGAGGAGAAACAAGAUCUUAA